rnacentral:lncRNA from 1 species
UUCGCUUUAACGCUCUUCGCUGGAGCACCUGUCCACCUUGACACCUUCCAAUCGACAAUCUGCAAUCACUGCUGAUAGCUCCACCUCUCACCUCCGCGUUGGAAUCGGCCAUGUAUGUUCAGUGUUCUCUCCAUUUCUCUCUUCUCUCUUUCUCAAUUGGACCACCAUCCCCAUUCCAUCAGCCCCCUGAUUAAGUUUAAUUGAGUUUUAUAUUCAGUUCUUCAUAAUGAAUGUCUGAAUUUACAUAUUAUACUAAAUUACUUACUUCAAAUUGAAACACCAAACCCAGAACUUGAGUUUACAAAAUCUGACAUGUAAUUAUGAUGACCUGAGAGGAUUAAGGGGUUUCAUGAAGGGAUUGGAAUUGCCAAUUAAUGGUUGGUGGCCUUCAAAUUCAUCAACUUUUUCAUUUUCCGGUUGCUGCAACUAGGUCAGUAUCAAUUAGAAUUCCUCUUCUGGUAGGAUUGUUAGAUUAGAACUCCUGAAUCACAUAUUAACGGACAGUAGCUCCGAGUCAUUUUCUAAUUUAAAUAGGGUUUUACCACUUAACAUAAACCUGCCUGCACUUCAAGUAUUAGAUAUAUCUGAUAAUACAUGAUACUCUUGCAUCUUGCCAAAAGAUAAAAGCUUUAAAUCUUACCAGGAAUCCCAAAUUCAAAGGCUAAGUCCCACAAACUCUCAAGAAUUUCCCUUCUCUUUCUUACCUUUCACUUUCCAAUUGUAGCCUCAAUGACCUCUCAACGGCUCUUAAAGUUCUCCAAUACUACCACAAUCUAACUAUUUUAGCUGUUACUAUGAACUUCUAUAAUGGACAGUUGCUACCUGAUGAU